rnacentral:rRNA from 1 species
UACGUAGGGUGCGAGCGUUGUCCGGAAUUAUUGGGCGUAAAGAGCUUGUAGGCGGUUUGUCGCGUCUGCCGUGAAAUUUCGAGGCUCAACCUCGAACUUGCGGUGGGUACGGGCAGACUAGAGUGUGGUAGGGGAGACUGGAAUUCCUGGUGUAGCGGUGAAAUGCGCAGAUAUCAGGAGGAACACCGAUGGCGAAGGCAGGUCUCUGGUACGUGACUGACGCUGAGACGCGAAAGCGUGGGGAGCGAACAGG